GUCAUUAACGUGCGCGAUCCGCCGCAAAUCAGCCACGAUGCAUUGCAACGGGCACGUUCAGUGGGCUGCGCGGCCGUUGCGACGAGCUGCAUUGCUGAUUCUUCGCUUGCCUGAGACUCGCAGUUGUCGAGCGGGUUGCAUCCGUUGUUACGUUGCCCGAAGACCGCAGUAAAUGUGAUUUGCAGGGUGCAAGCAACGUGUCAUUGUGGUUAGAAAAAAUGAAUCAGUAUACAUGUGAUUUAACUGUCAAAGCCGGAAUGUUUAAAGGAUCGACUGUCCAGCGAGGAGAUUGCGGAAUCAGCAGCUGACAUAUUGACUGAUGAAACAUGAUGGUGCGUGCAGCAAGAGAGGGUUUGACUGCAGAUCCUGACCACCUGCUCCUGUAAAUUUGUACCAACCACAGGCGAAAACAAGGGGAAACGCUUUGAAUACCUGCGGUCUUCUAUCAGCUAGACAAGUCCCUGAAGCUAUAAAUCAAUAAACUGAUGUA